rnacentral:rRNA from 1 species
CGAAAGCCUGACGGAGCAAUACCGCGUGAGGGAGGAAGGCCUUUGGGCUGUAAACCUCUUUUCUCAGGGAAGAAGAUCUGACGGUACCUGAGGAAUAAGCAUCGACUAACUCCGUGCCAGCAGCCGCGGUAAUACGGAGGAUGCAAGCGUUAUCCGGAAUUAUUGGGCGUAAAGCGUCCGCAGGUGGUUUUUCAAGUCUGCUGUCAAAGACCAGAGCUCAACUCUGGACCGGCAGUGGAAACUGGGAAACUAGAGUCCGGUAGGGGUAGCGGGAAUUCCCAGUGUAGCGGUGAAAUGCGUAGAUAUUGGGAAGAACAUCGGUGGCGAAGGCGCGCUACUGGACCGGAACUGACACUCAGGGACGAAAGCUAGGGGAGCGAAAGGGAUUAGAUACCCCUGUAGUCCUAGCUGUAAACGAUG